rnacentral:rRNA from 1 species
UCUCUAGUGGCGCACGGGUGAGUAACACGUGAGUAACCUGCCCCCAAGAGUGGGAUAGCCCCGGGAAACUGGGAUUAAUACCGCAUAAAAUCGCAAGAUUAAAGCAGCAAUGCGCUUGGGGAUGGGCUCGCGUCCUAUUAGUUAGUUGGUGAGGUAACGGCUCACCAAGGCGAUGACGGGGAGCCGGGCUGAGAGGAUGUCCGGCCACACUGGAACUGAGACACGGUCCAGACACCUACGGGUGGCAGCAGUCGAGAAUCAUUCACAAUGGGGGAAACCCUGAUGGUGCGACGCCGCGUGGGGGAAUGAAGGUCUUCGGAUUGUAAACCCCUGUCAUGUGGGAGCAAAUUAAAAAGAUAGUACCACAAGAGGAAGAGACGGCUAACUCUGUGCCAGCAGCCGCGGUAAUACAGAGGUCUCAAGCGUUGUUCGGAAUCACUGGGCGUAAAGCGUGCGUAGGCGGUUUCGUAAGUCGUGUGUGAAAGGCGGGGGCUCAACCCCCGGACUGCACAUGAUACUGCGAGACUAGAGUAAUGGAGGGGGAACCGGAAUUCUCGGUGUAGCAGUGAAAUGCGUAGAUAUCGAGAGGAACACUCGUGGCGAAGGCGGGUUCCUGGACAUUAACUGACGCUGAGGCACGAAGGCCAGGGGAGCGAAAGGGAUUAGAUACCCCUGUAGUCCUGGCAGUAAACGGUGCACGCUUGGUGUGCGGGGAAUCGACCCCCUGCGUGCCGGAGCUAACGCGUUAAGCGUGCCGCCUGGGGAGUACGGUCGCAAGAUUAAAACUCAAAGAAAUUGACGGGGACCCGCACAAGCGGUGGAGUAUGUGGCUUAAUUCGAUGCAACGCGAAGAACCUUACCUGGGCUUGACAUGUAAUGAACAACAUGUGAAAGCAUGCGACUCUUCGGAGGCGUUACACAGGUGCUGCAUGGCCGUCGUCAGCUCGUGUCGUGAGAUGUUUGGUUAAGUCCAGCAACGAGCGCAACCCCUGUUGCCAGUUACCAGCACGUAAAGGUGGGGACUCUGGCGAGACUGCCCAGAUCAACUGGGAGGAAGGUGGGG